CGUACGAGAAAGCCUGGGCAACCGGGUAAGUAAAGUGGCGCACGGGUGAGUAACGCGUGGGUAACCUACCCUCGAGCUGGGGAUAACUCCGCGAAAGCGGGGCUAAUACCGGAUAAUGUUUUGAUGUCUUCGGACGUUGAAACCAAAGGUGGCCUCUGCAUGCAAGCUAUCACUUGAGGAUGGGCCCGCGUACCAUUAGCUAGUUGGUAGGGUAAUGGCCUACCAAGGCAACGAUGGUUAGCUGGUCUGAGAGGAUGGCCAGCCACACUGGAACUGAGAUACGGUCCAGACUCCUACGGGAGGCAGCAGUGGG
rnacentral:sRNA from 1 species